rnacentral:rRNA from 1 species
UACGUAGGGGGCUAGCGUUGUCCGGAAUCAUUGGGCGUAAAGAGCGUGUAGGCGGUCCGGUAAGUCCGCUGUGAAAGUCGGGGGCUCAACCCUCGAAUGCCGGUGGAUACUGUCGGGCUAGAGUACGGAAGAGGCGAGUGGAAUUCCUGGUGUAGCGGUGAAAUGCGCAGAUAUCAGGAAGAACACCCGUGGCGAAAGCGGCUCUCUGGAACGGUACUGACGCUGAGACGCGAAAGCGUGGGGAGCAAACAGG